UACGUAGGUGGCAAGCGUUGUCCGGAUUUAUUGGGUUUAAAGGGUGCGUAGGCGGCCCUGUAAGUCAGUGCUGAAAUAUCCCGGCUUAACCGGGAGGGUGGCAUUGAUACUGCAUGGCUUGAGUACAGAUGAAGUAGGCGGAAUUGACGGUGUAGCGGUGAAAUGCAUAGAUAUCGUCAAGAACACCGAUAGCGAAGGCAGCUUACUAAGCUGUAACUGACGCUGAGGCACGAAAGUGUGGGGAUCAAACAGG
rnacentral:rRNA from 1 species